rnacentral:rRNA from 1 species
GAGCAGCGAAGCCGCGAGGUGGAAGCGAAUCUCACAAAGCCGGUCUCAGUUCGGAUCGGGAGUCUGCAACUCGACCCGUGAAGUCGGAAUCGCUAGUAACCGUGGGUCAGCAACACCGCGGUGAAUACGUUCCCGGGCCGUU